ensembl:snoRNA small nucleolar RNA U109
GUGCAUGUUUUGGCCGUUUUUGCCGUCUCUCCAUGACAAUAGAGACGUCAUGCUCAAACAUGCUAGAUUAACAUUCGGGAGCUAACAGGGCCACCAGUCUUUCAAGGCCAGACUGAGUCGGUAGUAUAAAACUCCCACAGUC